AAUCUUAAAAAAUGGACCCUCCCCCUUUAACCUAUAAAGCACUGUACCGCCAAACCUACCCCAGUUUUCCUUUCUUGUCCAGAGAGGGAAGGACAGGACAUCCAUAAGGUGAGACACACGGGUUGUCUGUCUGGGGGAUCCCGGUCCGAGAGCUGCCCGGGCAGUAUGCUGAGAGAUCCAUGCUCCUAAAUCGUUACGGAGCAAGUGGAGUUUGAUCUUCUUAUGCCGAGAAUGUUUCCGGCACUAGGUUCCUGGAGGUGGAGCUCGUUCUGAGCAUGCGUACAGCGGUGGAACGCACGCCCGGGUGGUGUUGCGAUCCACCUAAGCUUCUGGGUGCGCUAACACACAUGUGCAUACCGGAACCUUAAAGGCAUAUCAUUAAAAAAAACAAAAAGACCGCGAAAAUUUGAAAAUCCGGCGAAU